rnacentral:rRNA from 1 species
GAUGAACGCUGGCGGCGUGCCUAAUACAUGCAAGUCGAGCGGACGGACGAGAAGCUUGCUGCUCUGAUGUUAGCGGCGGACGGGUGAGUAACACGUGUAUAACCCACCUAUAUGACUGGGAUAACUUCGGGAAACCGGAGCUAAUACCGGAUGAUAUUUUGAACCGCGGGGUGCAAAGUGAAAGACGGGCUUGCUGGCAUGUAUAGAUGGAUCCGCGCUGCAUUAGCUAGUUGGUGAGGUAACGGCUUACCAAGGCAACGAUGCGUAGCCGACCUGAGAGGGUGAUCGGCCACACUGGAACUGAGACACGGUCCAGACUCCUACGGGAGGCAGCAGUAGGGAAUCUUCCGCAAUGGGCGAAAGCCUGACGGAGCAACGCCGCGUGAGUGAUGAAGGUCUUCGGAUCGUAAAGCUCUGUUAUUAGGGAAGAACAUAUGUGUAAGUAGCUGUGCACAUCUUGACGGUACCUAAUCAGAAAGCAACGGCUAACUACGUG